AGCGCCUAAGCGCGGACCCACUUCCGUGAAAGAGCGGAAGACGCGGGCUGGUGGAGGCGGUUUCAAGAUGGCGGUUCCUUUGAGGAUUCAGAGCGACUGGGCCCAGGCUCUCAGGAAGGAUGAAGGGGAGGCCUGGCUGAGCUGUCACCCCCCAGGGAAACCAACUUUGUAUGGCAGCCUGACUUGUCAAGGAAUUGGCCUUGAUGGCAUCCCAGAGGUUACAGCUUCGGAAGGAUUUAUUGUGAAUGAAAUAAACAAGAAAAGCAUUCAUAUUUCAUGUCCAAAGGAAAAUGCAUCUUCGAAGUUUUUGGCACCAUAUACUACUUUUUCCAGAAUUCAUACAAAGAGUAUAACAUGCCUGGACAUUUCCAGUGGAGGAGGCCUUGGUGUGUCUUCUAGUACCGAUGGGAGCAUGAAGAUCUGGCAGGCUUCCAAUGGAGAGCUCAGAAGAGUAUUGGAAGGACAUGUAUUUGAUGUGAAUUGUUGCAGGUUUUUCCCAUCAGGCCUUGUGGUUCUGAGUGGGGGAAUGGAUGCCCAGCUGAAGAUCUGGUCAGCUGAAGAUGCUAGCUGUGUGGUGACCUUCAAAGGUCACAAAGGAGGUAUCCUGGAUACAGCCAUUGUUGAUCGGGGGAAGAAUGUGGUAUCUGGUUCUCGAGAUGGGACAGCACGACUUUGGGACUGUGGGCGCUCAGCCUGCUUGGGAGUCAUUGCAGACUGUGGGUCUUCCAUCAACGGAGUGGCUGUGGGUACUGCUGACAACUCUAUAAACCUCGGUUCCCCUGAGCAGACGCCCAGCGAACGGGAGGUUGGAACAGAGUCGAAAAUGCUGCUUUUGGCCCGAGAAGAUAAGAAACUUCAGUGCUUGGGACUGCAGAGCAGGCAGCCGGUGUUCCUCUUUAUUGGCUCAGAUGCCUUCAACUGCUGUAGUUUUCUUUCUGGCUUCUUGCUGUUGGCUGGGACACAGGAUGGAAACAUUUAUCAGCUGGAUGUGAGGAGUCCAAGGGCUCCAGUACAAGUCAUCCACAGAUCAGGAGCACCAGUUAUGUCCCUGCUGAGUUUCAGAGACGGAUUCAUUGCUAGUCAAGGUGAUGGAAGCUGUUUCAUUGUCCAGCAAGACUUAGACUAUGUCAUUGAGCUCACUGGGGCAGACUGUGACCCUGUGUACAAGGUAGCCACAUGGGAGAAGCAGAUCUACACGUGUUGUCGAGAUGGUCUUGUGCGACGCUAUCAGCUCUCUGACCUCUGACCCCUUGGGAAGAGGAGUCCCAGUUAAUGAAAAAGAUUGACUCUGACCAGCAGUGAGCAGAAACAUCAUCAAGGACCAUGGAAGGACCAUGGGUGCCCUUUAUUGUAUUGGGUACCCUUUGGAAGAAACAAAAAGUCAGCUGCAUUGGCCCAUGUGGAGCUAUCAUUCCAUGACAGGACCCACUUUGAAGUCUCCAGAGUUGACAACCUGAUUGUGAUAGAUGCAGUAACCCUUGACAGCUGUCCUGAAGUCCAGACCCAAACAGAAGGAGCAAAGGCUAGCUCUCAGGUACCGGAAACUUGCCCUUAAGAACCACCCAUUGAGGUCCAGUGAGCCAUCCGCAGCGGAGGCAUUCAGGCAAAUAGCGGAGGCCUACGAUGUGCUGAGCGACCCCCUCCAGCUCUCUUAGCCCCUAUGCUGGAUCCCUCCUCACCGUGACACAUAUCCACAGCUGUGAAAAGAGGCAUCUAUGACAAGUUCGGAGAGGAAGGCCUGAAGGGCGGAAUUCCUGUGGAGUUUGGAUCGCAGACCCCGUGGACAACUGGUUACGUCUUCCACGGCAACCC